rfam:Ictidomys tridecemlineatus contig022532, whole genome shotgun sequence.
GGGGCUGUAGCUCAGUGGUAGAGCACUUGCCUAGCAUGUGUGAGGCCCUGGGUUUGAUCCUCAGCACCA